GUGGGGAUAUACACAUACACGUACACAUACACAUACACUUACACUUACACAUACACAUGCACUUACACAUACACUUACACAUACACUUACACUUACACUUACACAUACACUUACACAUACACUUACACUUACACAUACACAUGCACUUACACUUACACAUACACAUACACUUACACAUACACUUACACAUACACAUGCACUUACACUUACACAUACACAUGCACUUACACAUAUAC
rnacentral:lncRNA from 1 species